GCUGCAUGCUGUCUACAAGGAACUUCCUAUCAGAUACAGCGAUCAGAUGUCGAACGCAAGAUAAUAAACGUUUCAAAUGACAAGUGUUUUAAAAACUGGAGCUCCCCUACUCAAUUACUGUGUAGUCAACGAGAUAACGCCGCGAAAAAUUCGUGAGCGGAAACAGAACAACUCCAGUGCCUAGAUUUUAACUUGAGAAGCAAAUUAAGCAGCAUUGAGUGCUCGCUACGUCUACGUGCUCGUAGCUCGCCCGCCCGGCCUACCUGUCAUUCGUUGCAGGUUACCACGCUAUGCUCUACGCACACUA
rnacentral:lncRNA from 1 species